UUCAUGUUGUGUUAUGUUUGAUAACUUGGUUGAGUUGAGCUUAAAGUUGAAAAUGAGAAGAGGAACGUUCCACCAAUGAUCGUUAGGGUUUGGUCGCAUCAUCAUUCUUCAUGUCGAUCCUGCGCCGAUGUGUUUACCCUAUCAAGAAACAAGGACAUAGCGUGGAGCUUUCAGGAUUAUUAUUAUGUGGGAUAAAAGAUGAUACCCUGAGUUAUUUCAGUGGUGAAAACCUUGGUGGGUGUUUUUUUUUUGAUAAGCCACCUUGGUGGGUGUUACCCUGCUCUGUAGUGCAAAAUGGCUUUGUUUAAGAGAGAAAAGUUACCAUACUUCACCCUUUGUUGGAAAAUUCUUUCUGGGUAGUUGUGGGUUGUCUUCACAUGUUAAUGAAAAAAGUUGCAAUGAAAAAAUGUUUUGAAAGAAAAAUUUCUGGAAAUUGAGAAAACCCUUUCAGCUAAGCUUACUGAGGAUAUUACCAUGGAGGAAGAAGUCGAUCAGGAAUCUAAUCCAGAACCUAGACGCCUUGAUGAUCCUUUGUCAGAAUCUGAGAAUGAACUUUACCUCAGCCACCUUUAAAGAGAAAGGCUUCUUUGGAGUUGUUAAGAACCAUUAUGGACAGUCCAGCUUGCUACAUUCCCAGUAUUCUGGAAAGAUUUGUUGAAGCAGAGGAGGAUUUGAGCCAUUCAGAGGCUUCAAAGAUUGUAUUUAUUCUCUGGAAGCAUCAUAUGUAUUACAAGGCAUUGCAGAUUUCGGAAUGGUUGGAGACCACUAAACAAUUUGAGUUCAGUGAAAAUGACUAUGCUUCUCGUCUUGAUUUAAUAGCCAAGGUCCAGGGAGUUGAUGUGGCAGAAAAGUACAUGAAGAAUGUUCCACACUCUUCCAGAGCAAAGAUAGACCAGGACAAUAUGAAAGUCAUGUUGCAUUUACACUCCCAGGACUGUGUAGAGUUAUUUCAGGGAUAAAUGUAUUUGAUCCCAAGUUCAACAUAGCUGCACCUGGAGCUGAUCAGUCAGUCUAUUUCCCUUUUGGAGCAUUUAUACCUUUUGGAGGCGGGUCAAUAAUGAACAAAAAGAGGCAAAGCAAAGAUACAUUAAAAUGUUCUACAAUCUUAUGUUCAAGAAUUUGGUGAAGACUAUAAUUGUUCCAGGUGAAGACUAUAACUUGACAUGCACUCAGAUGUUGUUCAUAGCCUUAAUCAUACAUUAAUAGAAACGGUCAUUGAAAUUGGUUCUGUUGGAAAGGGUCUCAGUCAAGGUGUUAAAAACUUUUUUGCUCAUACAGAAGGGGUGAGAUCUUGAUUGAUCUGUCAACUAUGUGCACAUUCAUGGCUAUUAUAGAAAAUUUGUAGAAAAAAAUAUUUAUAUAUUAAUAUAGUUCAUUUUGAUUUAAGUUGA